rnacentral:rRNA from 1 species
GGGCGUUAAGUUGCAGGGUAUAGACCCGAAACCCGGUGAUCUAGCCAUGGGCAGGUUGAAGGUUGGGUAACACUAACUGGAGGACCGAACCGACUAAUGUUGAAAAAUUAGCGGAUGACUUGUGGCUGGGGGUGAAAGGCCAAUCAAACCGGGAGAUAGCUGGUUCUCCCCGAAAGCUAUUUAGGUAGCGCCUCGUGAAUUCAUCUCCGGGGGUAGAGCACUGUUUCGGCAAGGGGGUCAUCCCGACUUACCAACCCGAUGCAAACUGCGAAUACCGGAGAAUGUUAUCACGGGAGACACACGGCGGGUGCUAACGUCCGUCGUGAAGAGGGAAACAACCCAGACCGCCAGCUAAGGU